rnacentral:rRNA from 1 species
CCUACGGGAGGCAGCAGUAGGGAAUCUUCCACAAUGGACGAAAGUCUGAUGGAGCAACGCCGCGUGAGUGAAGAAGGGUUUCGGCUCGUAAAGCUCUGUUGGUAGUGAAGAAAGAUAGAGGUAGUAACUGGCCUUUAUUUGACGGUAAUUACUUAGCAAGUGACGCCUAACUACGUGCGAGGAGCCGCGGUAUUACGUAGGUGGCAAGCGUUGUCCGGAUAUAUUGGGCGUAAAGGGAGUGCAGGCGGUGCAAUAAGUCUGAUGUGAAAGCCUUCGGCUCAACCGGAGAAUUGCAUCAGAAACUGUUGGACUUGAGUGCAGAAGAGGGGAGUGGAACUCCUUGUGUAGCGGUGGAAUGCGUAGAUAUAUGGAGGAACACCAGUGGCGAAGGCGGCUCUCUGGUCUGCAACUGACGCUGAGGCUCGAAAGCAUGGGUAGCGAACAGGAUUAGAUACCCCAGUAGUC